rnacentral:rRNA from 1 species
ACGUAGGAGACGAGCGUUAUCCGGAUUAACUGGGCGUAAAGAGCGUGUAGGAGGCAAUACAACUUGGAUGUAAAAGCUCUCGGCUAAACUGAGAGAGGAAGUUCAAGAUUGUAGAGCUAGAGGAAGACAGAGGUAGAUGGAACUCCGGGAGUAGUGGUGAAAUGCGUAGAAUUCCGUAAGAACGCCAGAGUCUAAAGCGAUCUACUGUGCCUUAACAUACACUGAGACGCGAAAGCCAGGGUACCAAACGG